CCCUUAGAUGUUCUGGGCCGCACGCGCGCUACACUGAUGCAUUCAACGAGUUUCUUCCUGGUCCGAGAGGAAUGGGUAACCUUUUGAAAGUGCAUCGUGAUAGGGAUAGACUAUUGCAAUUAUUGGUCUUCAACGAGGAAUUCCUAGUAGACGUAGUUUAUCAGACUGCAUCGAUUACGUCCCUGCCCUUUGUACACACCGCCCGUCGCUCCUACCGAUUGAAUGCUCAGGUGAGCCAUUCGGACUUUCAUCAUGCUGGUUUCCAGUUUUGAUGAAGGAAAGUCUUGCGAACCUUAUCAUUUAGAGGAAGGAGAAGUCGUAACA
rnacentral:rRNA from 1 species